rnacentral:rRNA from 1 species
UACGUAGGGUCCGAGCGUUUGUCCGGAAUUACUGGGCGUAAAGAGCUCGUAGGUGGUUUGUCGCGUUGUUCGUGAAAACUCACAGCUCAACUGUGGGCGUGCGGGCGAUACGGGCAGACUGGAGUACUGCAGGGGAGACUGGAAUUCCUGGUGUAGCGGUGAAAUGCGCAGAUAUCAGGAGGAACACCGGUGGCGAAGGCGGCAUCCUGGACCGACACUGACGGCUGAGGAGCGAAAGCCAGGGGAGCAAACGGG